rnacentral:rRNA from 1 species
UACGUAGGGUCCGAGCGUGUCCGGAAUUAUUGGGCGUAAAGAGCUCGUAGGCGGUCUGUCGCGUCGGAUGUGAAAAUCAGGGCUCAACCCUGGACCUGCAUUCGAUAUGGGCAGACUAGAGUUCGGCAGGGGAGACUGGAAUUCCUGGUGUAGCGGUGAAAUGCGCAGAUAUCAGGAGGAACACCGGUGGCGAAGGCGGAUCUCUGGGCCGAUACUGACGCUGAGGAGCGAAAGCGUGGGGAGCGAACAGG